UACGUAGGGGGCAAGCGUUGUCCGGAUUCACUGGGCGUAAAGCGCGUGUAGGCGGCCUCUCAAGUCGGGUGUGAAAGCCCGGGGCUCAACCCCGGGAUGCCGCUCGAAACUGGGAGGCUUGAGGACGGAAGAGGGGAGUGGAAUUCCUGGUGUAGCGGUGAAAUGCGUAGAGAUCAGGAGGAACACCCGUGGCGAAGGCGGGUCUCUGGGCCGAAACUGACGCUGAGGAGCGAAAGCGUGGGGAGCGAACAGG
rnacentral:rRNA from 1 species